rnacentral:rRNA from 1 species
AGUCCUGAUUUCAAGCGAGGUUACCCGCUGGAUUUAAGCAUAUUAAUAAGCGGAGGAAAAUAAAAUAACUAUGAUUUCCCUAGUAACGGCGAGUGAAGCGGAAAGAGCUCAAAUUUGAAAUUGGCCGUCAAAAGCCGAAUUGUAGUUUCAAGGAGCGGCGGUUGUUCUGCGAGCGUGUGCCGGGGUAAUUUUCGCUGGAAAGCGAAGCCAGAGAAGGUGACAGCCCUGUGUCGCCCGGCGCGUUUGCAGAGGGACACUGCCAUUCCAAAGAGUCGUGCUUCUUGGGAGUGAAGCUCUAAAUGCCGGGUAAAUCUCCGGUAAGGCUAAAUAUUCGGUCAAAGACCAAUAGCAAACAAGUACUGUGAAGGAAAGAUGAAAAGAACUUUGAAAAGAGAGUGAAAAGUGCCCGAAAUUGGAAAUAUAAAAAGGAUAUUUUCCUUUUAUGCAUCCUGCGCCUGUUAAGGCUUCCGCCUGGGUCCGCGAAAGGUUUCCGCAUGAGGUACCGAAGCGGGGGGUCCCGGCGCCAGCUGUACUGGGUGUGUGGGUGGAGCAGUUUCACUUUUCUGGAGGCUCGGCCGAUGGUGGGAGAGGUAGGUCCUGGGGGGGUUCGCCAACCUGGGACUGUUAUUAAACUCGCUGAACCGGUAGCCUGCGGGAGAGUGGGGAACGAAGAGCUGGGCCACAAAAUGGCGCUAGGGGCAGUGUGACCGCGGGGCGCGAGGGGGGGGACUGGAAAACCAGUGCCUCUUCUCGCGUCUUGUGAACCUGCUGCCCGUCUUGCACCAGCUCGAGAAACUGCGCUUUGUUAUCAAAAGGAAGGGGAAAUAUCACCCGUCUUGAAACACGGACCAAGGAGUCUAGCGAAUGUGCGAGUGUUUGGGUGAGCAAAACCCAGGCGCGGAUUGAAAGAGAACUUGAGGUGCCAAGGAUUUUAUUCCCGCAGCAUCGACCGACCCUGCGAUUCUUCAAAAGGUUUGAGUACAAGCAUAUUCGCCGGGACCCGAAAGAUGGUGAUCUAUAUUUGUUUAGGGCGAAGCCGCAGGAAACUGCGGUGGAGGCUCGUAGCCGUUCUGACGUGCAAAUCGAUGGUCAAAAAUGAAUAUAGGGGCGAAAGACUAAUCGAACCAUCUGGUAGCUGGUUCCAUUCGAAGUUUCCCUCAGGAUAGCUGAAACUCGCAUAGACAAAGUUUCAUCCGGUAAAGCGAAUGAUUAGAGGAACUGGGAAAAAAAUUUUCUCGGCCUAUUCUCAAACUUUAAAUAGGUGAGAUGCUCUUCUUACUUGAUUGAAGAGGGGCAAAGAAUUUGAGUUUUUAGUGGGCCAUUUUUGGUAAGCAGAACUGGCGAUGCGGGAUGAACCGAUCGGGGGGUUAAAGAGCCCGAGUGAAUGCUUAAAGAUCCCAUAAACGGCGUUGUCGCAUUUAGACAGCAGGACGGUGGCCAUGGAAGUCGGAAUCCGCUAAGGAGUGUGUAACAACUCACCUGCCGAAUGUGGCAGCCCGGAAAAUGAAUGGCGCUGAAGCAUCCCUCUUAUACCCCCCUGCCAGGGCAAAUGCGACGCCCUGGCAAGUAGAAUGGCGUGAAGGUUUUGGCGCUGUAACAGGCGCCGGUUUUAAGAAGCGUGGGCGUGAGCCUGCGUGGAAAAGCCUUUAGUGCAGAUCUUGGUGGUAGUAGCAAUUAAAAAAGUUGAAUUCUUUUUGACUGAUGAGGAGAAAGGUUUCUAGGGAACUGCAAUAAGCCUAGAGUCAGUCGGUCCUAAUCGAGCGUCGAAGGACGGAAAACGGGCGCUUUCGGGCGUCCUAGUCUCGAGAAAGGGAAUGGGGCUAAUAUUCCCCAACUUGCCUGGUGGAUACCGCGGGGGUCACACCUCGCGGAGCGCGGCAACGCAACAGCGUCCGAAGACGCCGGCCCUGAGCCCGAGAGGAGUUUUCUUUUCUUUUUAAUUGGCUCAUACAGCGGACUGUGGAAUUCCUUUACGGAGAGAUACAUGUCCGCGGCACAACAAGAGCAGGCGCCACUUUUUUGGCCCUGUUCGGUGCCUCAGGGACGGUUCGUAAAAAUUCGGAUCAUGCAAUCAUUCUCACCGCAAGCCGUACUCAUCACCGCAUCAGGUCUCCAAGUUUCAAAAACUCUAGUUUUAGAAUAAUGUAGGUAAGGGAAGUCGGCAAAAUAGAUCCGUAACUUUGGGAAAAGGAUUGGCUCUAAAGGUUGGGUGGCCGGGGCUGCGGGAUGUUUGCGGCGCGGGGACGCGCGGUGGACCUGGGUGCGGGGCAACUCGUGCUUGGGACCGCUGCGCAACGCCCUGCGUCGCCGCCCGUGGCUUGGCAGCGAUGUCGAACCGACCACGCGAAACAACUGAUUUAGAACUAUUAUGGACAAGGGGAAUCCGACAGUUUAAUUAAAACUUAGCUUUGCGAAGGUCAGUAUUGAUUUUGACGCAAAGUGAUUUCUGCCCAGUGCUCUGAAUGUCAACUUGAAGAAAUUCAAUCAAGCGCGGGUAAAC